ensembl:lncRNA
UCGAUUUUAUAUUUGGCUAAAUCAAAAAUAUAUAUUGGCCUACUAGUUAUUUUUCUUCAGAUUUCCCAACUUUGCAUUGUGCUGACAUGUUCAAACCGCCAUUGAAGUUUAGUCUAGACAGUCUCUUUUGUUAUGUGCUGUGGUCCGUCAUCAAAUGCACCAGUGCGUUUAUAGAAAAACAAAACAACUAUACCGCACUGAGAAAAUAUAAUUCUCGUCAACAAAGAGAGGUAUGCAGCUUCGGGACAGAGGAGGCGGGUACGUGUGAUCUCGUGACUUCAGGGGAAAGCUCGAACUCAUUGUGGGGCGCAGAUGAAAAAUGGAAGAGUUACCACUGCUGGCCACAUUGGCAAACGAGAGAAAUCCACUUUCAAACUUGCAGCAGAUGUCGAGGGAAAUAGCCUUCCGUUCGAAAUCAAAUUUACUUCAUGGUCACUGUUAUUUCACAUUUUCAGAUCCGCUCGAGCAUGAUGGAGUCAAUAAUGUGAAGCAAUAAUAGGCUGACAAGGAUCAAUCUUGGCAGCCUGGCGAAUACGCUGUCUGCGUCUCAAUACACAACCCCAAUCAACAUUUGGGCGUUGAGGGCCUGAAGAGACAAGUCUUCAGGGGGAGACGUCUCACUCGCCAAGAAACCGCCCAAGACUUCAGACCUACCUUAAGACCGGCUCGUGCAAUGAAGGCUGGGACCGUGCAAGUGUGUGUGAUGCUGAAACAGCUCAACGAGCUCCCGCCUCAGGAGUCCCAUUUCUGAGGGCCGCUGGCCUGCCGGCCGGAGCGUGUGAAAGCAGAUAACCAGGGCAAAUUUCAUGACUCACACACUUCCUGCUCUGUGAAGUUGCAUUAAAAGCUGUGGGGGGAAAAAGCGCAACCCUGAUGUUCUAGCUCCAAAUCGAUUGUUACACAUUAAGCAUGUUGGCUUCACCCCGGAGCGUGUUCAAAGAGUUGGUACCAUGGCCAUAAUGUGCCCGGAAUAGGAAAAUAACAUGACGCGGGCGGAGAGAUCGCUUCGGCCGAUGAAUACACCGUCUUGCGUUUUCCAACAGUCCUGAUACUGGCCACGUGGGGUUGAGGUGUAUUCAGUUUUGUAUUGUAUUCAGAGAUGUAACUUACUUGGUAAUCACCUAUAUCAAUGAAAGUUCACUAAAUAGUGUUUUGCGUGAUAUUCAUGGGGCCCUAGGUGUGAGGUUUCUCUGAAUAUAUGGCUGUUUUGGGGGUUCAGUUUUGCCUUUUACAUUCCAAUAAAUAUGAAAGCAUUUCGGCUCUGCCUCGGCUCGAACACAUACAGACCCCUACUCUUCUUGUCUCAGACUGCUUCCAAUCGCACCAGGGUCCCUGUAUACCUGAACAGUAACUUCGGGAAGAAAUGCCAGAAUGGACAGUGAAAACAGCAGGAGGUGUAGUGCUGUACAGCUUCUGCCUGGCAGCAGCUAACGGGGAGCCAAAGAAACAAACAGUUAUUACGAACGGCUAUUAAUUAUCCUUUAUUCUAUGUGCAUAACACUUGUGCAUAACACUGCAAAUGUCCUCUUCAUAAAGGCAUUACUAACACAUUUAUUGCCAUAUGAGCAAUCCACUAAAGCACAAAAGCUGUUGUCCCUCUAUAAAAAGCUUGACUAAGCAUAUUAAGAACACAGACCCAUAUUUUAGCAACAAGGAACCAGGGGGGUUUGUGGUCGGACAAUAUACAACAGCUAAUCCGGACCUUAGGCACAACACAACAUGGAGUGCCUGCUGGAUACAGCCAAUAGCCAUAGUACAUUAGUCAUACACCACAAACCCCAGAAAGAUACCCAUUUGCUAUUAUAAACCGGUUGCCAAUAAGAACAUUACAAAUUAUUGUUCUUUUUUUUUUGUAUUACCCUUGCAGUACCGUCUCAUAUACCAUGGCUUUCAUCCAAUGAGCAUUCUGGGUUCAAACCAUUCAGCAAUUAUAAUCCAAUGAGAACUCCACCUACAAUGCCUAGCUAUGUCUUCCUCUUCAUGUCCACUCAUGUUAACCUGACAAAGUUUCCCCCUCCAACUGAAUCAUCGUGUUCAGGCACUUUUAGUUUACACUGUCUGUCUAGCAUAUGCCCAAAUGGCAUCACUUGCGCCGCUGUGUUUUGCUUUCUGCUGUCACCUACUCUAACAAUAUAAUUGGCCAUUACCUCUGACCCCUUUUGUCAGCCAC